rnacentral:rRNA from 1 species
CGGCGGACGGGUGAGUAACGCGUGGGUAACCUGCCUCAUACAGGGGGAUAACAGUUAGAAAUGACUGCUAAUACCGCAUAAGACCACAGCACCGCAUGGUGCGGGGUAAAAACUCCGGUGGUAUGAGAUGGACCCGCGUCUGAUUAGCUAGUUGGUAGGGUAACGGCCUACCAAGCCGACGAUCAGUAGCCGACCUGAGAGGGUGACCGGCCACAUUGGGACUGAGACACGGCCCAA